rnacentral:rRNA from 1 species
CAGCAGCCGCGGUAAUACAGAGGGUGCGAGCGUUAAUCGGAUUUACUGGGCGUAAAGCGUGCGUAGGCGGCUUCUUAAGUCGGAUGUGAAAUCCCUGAGCUUAACUUAGGAAUUGCAUUCGAUACUGGAAAGCUAGAGUAUGGGAGAGGAUGGUAGAAUUCCAGGUGUAGCGGUGAAAUGCGUAGAGAUCUGGAGGAAUACCGAUGGCGAAGGCAGCCAUCUGGCCUAAUACUGACGCUGAGGUACGAAAGCAUGGGGAGCAAACAGGAUUAGAUACCCCCGUAGUCCCUGUCUCUUAUAA